UGAUAUGGUUUAUAGAGUAACAGAGAGUUAAGUAAAGAUGGAAAGCUCCUAAAGCUUAGUUCCAUAUAAAUGCACGGAUAAUUCGUUGUUUUGUCGUUAGUGAAAAACAAUAUUGACCUUGUAGUUGAAAAAGGAGCCUCAUAUAAGAAUGACAUUUCCUUCUACGGAGUCCAUUCAUUCGCAUUUGGAGUUCGAUACUUUUUGACUGAAAAGAUGGCGAAGAGCGGAAACAACAACUGCUAAAGUGAGUCGUUCAAA